ACGGUCCUAAGGUAGCGAAAUUCCUUGUCGGGUAAGUUCCGACCUGCACGAAUGGCGUAAUGAUGGCCAGGCUGUCUCCACCCGAGACUCAGUGAAAUUGAACUCGCUGUGAAGAUGCAGUGUACCCGCGGCAAGACGGAAAGACCCCGUGAACCUUUACUAUAGCUUGACACUGAACAUUGAGCCUUGAUGUGUAGGAUAGGUGGGAGGCUUUGAAGUGUGGACGCCAGUCUGCAUGGAGCCGACCUUGAAAUACCACCCUUUAAUGUUUGAUGUUCUAACGUUGACCCGUAAUCCGGGUUGCGGACAGUGUCUGGUGGGUAGUUUGACUGGGGCGGUCUCCUCCUAAAGAGUAACGGAGGAGCACGAAGGUUGGCUAAUCCUGGUCGGACAUCAGGAGGUUAGUGCAAUGGCAUAAGCCAGCUUGACUGCGAGCGUGACGGCGCGAGCAGGUGCGAAAGCAGGUCAUAGUGAUCCGGUGGUUCUGAAUGGAAGGGCCAUCGCUCAACGGAUAAAAGGUACUCCGGGGAUAACAGGCUGAUACCGCCCAAGAGUUCAUAUCGACGGCGGUGUUUGGCACCUCGAUGUCGGCUCAUCACAUCCUGGGGCUGAAGUAGGUCCCAAGGGUAUGGCUGUUCGCCAUUUAAAGUGGUACGCGAGCUGGGUUUAGAACGUCGUGAGACAGUUCGGUCCCUAUCUGCCGUGGGCGCUGGAGAACUGAGGGGGGCUGCUCCUAGUACGAGAGGACCGGAGUGGACGCAUCACUGGUGUUCGGGUUGUCAUGCCAAUGGCACUGCCCGGUAGCUAAAUGCGGAAGAGAUAAGUGCUGAAAGCAUCUAAGCACGAAACUUGCCCCGAGAUGAGUUCUCCCUGACUCCUUGAGAGUCCUGAAGGAACGUUGAAGACGACGACGUUGAUAGGCCGGGUGUGUAAGCGCAGCGAUGCG
rnacentral:rRNA from 1 species